rnacentral:lncRNA from 1 species
GUUUCAGUUCUCAGAUGUAACUGUUGCCUUCCACCACCAUGUUUCAUCAAAGUUUUACAUUACUGUAACAAUCAAAAGGCAUUUCGUCUCUUCAAUUCCCCUCCUUUCUCCUAUAUAUUUCAGAGGCUUCUCCCUCUUGACCCAUACCCAAAAGAGAAGCUGAAAUGAUUGCAUGGCAAAGAAUUGCUAGAUAUUCCGCAACGGCUCCGGCUAUUCUUCCCGGAGGCGAGCUGAAGAAGACCGAAUCUGGAAGGCCCCCUAAUUGGUCUUGAGAUGCUGUUGAUAAGAAGAGGAAGAUAGAAGCUGAUGCUGCCGAUUCAAGAUAAGAACGAUCAGCUUCGAAGCUCUAGGCUUAUCUCUCAGGUACCUUUUCCCACUGAAUACACGUUUGAAUCAUUGACUGACAAAUAAGAAAACGCUUCUGUGUAGUGAUUGUUUUGUGAUGAGUGUUUUGAUUUGAUAAAAUCCGCUUGGUCAGAUCUGUUCAUGAACCAAAGAAAUAAAAAAAAAAACUGAUCGUUCGUUUGUCAAUUGUUACAUUUGCCUUACCAAAACAAAGUUCCAAUUUAUUGUAAAAGUUGCAUGAUUAAGCAAAAAUAUGAACAUAAUUCCUUGAAAUUUCAAGUCAUGUAUCAAAAAGCUGAAGCCUUUGCUGUGCUGAUGGAAUCCUUUAGCUGUUGGAUUAAUUUUUAGAAAACAAUUCGCUUAUGAUUUGGUUUCUAUAUCGUGAUGGGAAUUAUUUGAUGGAGAAUUUGUGUUUCAGUAAGCGAGCUACACGAUAGUUUAAUCUGGUUCUGUGAUGCAGCACUGAUUGUGAACCAUUUUUGACGAACUUCCUUAUUUUGUUUUCAGCUUGGGAGGUUGAAGCUACUAUGGACUUUGUACGUCAUGAGAGCUCCAUUCUUCACCAUGUACACAAGGUGAGUGGGGGAGUUAAUAUGUAUAUCUCUGUUAUUCUACGGUUUCAGUAAUGUUUUGCUUUCAUAAUGAAAAAAUAAAUAACUCAUUGCUUUUCCUUUUCCUAGGAGUUUCUGGAUCUCGACUGAAAAUUUAUAAUAACCAAAAAAACCUUCGUCUGUUUGUGAUCUUCUAACGACUUGACCCUCAUGUAUGGCUGUGC